UUGUGGAUUCUUCAAAUGAGU
rnacentral:miRNA from 1 species